rnacentral:rRNA from 1 species
GAGUUUGAUCCUGGCUCAGAUUGAACGCUGGCGGCAGGCCUAACACAUGCAAGUCGAGCGGAUGACGGGAGCUUGCUCCUUGAUUCAGCGGCGGACGGGUGAGUAAUGCCUAGGAAUCUGCCUGGUAGUGGGGGACAACGUUUCGAAAGGAACGCUAAUACCGCAUACGUCCUACGGGGAGAAAGCAGGGGACCUUCGGGCCUUGCGCUAUCAGAUGAGCCUAGUCGGAUUAGCUAGUGUGAGGUAAAGGCUCACCAAGGCGACGAUCCGUAGCAGGUCUGAGAGGAUGAUCUGCCACA